AGAGUGAACGCUGGCGGUAGGCCUAACACAUGCAAGUCGAACGGCAGCACGGUAAGAGCUUGCUCUUAUGGGUGGCGAGUGGCGGACGGGUGAGGAAUACAUCGGAAUCUACCUUUUGGUGGGGGAUAACGUAGGGAAACUUACGCUAAUACCGCAUACGCCCUUCGGGGGAAAGCCGGGGACCAGCAAUGGCCUGGUGCUGAUAGAUGAGCCGAUGUCGGAUUAGCUAGUUGGUGAGGUAAUGGCUCACCAAGGCGACGAUCCGUAGCUGGUCUGAGAGGAUGAUCAGCCACACUAGGACUGAGACACGGUCCAGACUCGUACGGGAGCAGCAGUGGGAAUAUUGGACUAAUGGGCGCGAAGCCUGAUCCAGCCAAUACCGGCGUAGGGU
rnacentral:rRNA from 1 species